rnacentral:rRNA from 1 species
GGGGGGAGCAAGCGUUGUUCGGAAUCACUGGGCGUAAAGGGCGUGCAGGCGGUCAGGUAAGUGAGAUGUGAAAUGCCCCGGCUCACCCGGGGACCGGCAUCUCAUACUGCUUGGCUUGAGUACGGGAGAGGAUGUGGGAAUUCCUGGUGUAGCGGUGAAAUGCGUAGAUAUCAGGAGGAACACCGGUGGCGAAGGCGCACAUCUGGCCCGAUACUGACGCUGAGGCGCGAAAGCUAGGGGAGCAAACGGGAUUAGAUACCCCGGUAGUCCUAGCCGUAAACGGUGAUCACUAGGUGUUGGAGGCAUUGACCCCUCCAGUGCCGCAGCUAACGCAUUAAGUGAUCCGCCUGGGGAGUACGGCCGCAAGG